GCGGGAGAGACAAAGAAUCUAGUUUGGAUCGUGUGGAAUGAAACAUGGCUAGGCAACGCCGGCUGCGCUGCCACCGAUGAGACUGACCUCUGACAACCUCCUACACAUACACACACUCAGCAUAUUUGGAGAAAGGAAGAACAAACGAUCAUGUCUAUGCCUGCCUGUUCAUGUGUAUUGUAAGCAAGUUUAGCUUUUUAUGGCCAUUACCAACUAGGCAACUACUAGUUUACAAUUUGUGGCUAUUCUUUUAGUCUCUUCUACCUAUUAUUCUUCCUCUUCUUCUUCUGCUGAUGCAAUAGGAAAAUAGAAAUGCCAAAGAGAAAGAGUAAAAAUCUCUCUCUUUAGAGAGAGAGUGGGCAGUGGGAAUGUAAAAGUCUGCGCGCUUGCGUCAUGUGCGUUGGGAUAAAAAAAAAAGGCUCAAAAGAACUCAACAACAACAACAACACACAGAGUAUGGAAUGGCAACCGCAGCAGGCCUCGGUCGCAGUCGGCGUAGCAGCUGGCUGAGCAGUCGACGCAGUCCGGACAACUCCGGGGAAUGAAAACCAGUCUAGAAACGCGCAGGCCGCUUUGGCUCUAUAAUUAUGCUGCUUGGUCGAGUAUGUAUGUAUGUGUGUACAUGUUUUUUGUAUAUAAAUACAUAUAUACAUACAUACUGGCUGGCUACAAAAGGGCCUUAAACUUUGUUUAAAGUCAAGGUCAGUGAUUUCUUGUUCGCCAAUUGCGAUGGUAUCGGAUGUGAAGCUGCGUGAGUCACGGCUCUUCCCAUUCUAGUCCUUAAAAGAGAGACUUAGACCAUCUAGGCCCUUAAGAUACAAUAUCUUUUAGAUAAUAAUAUUUUUAAGAUACUCUAUCUCUUCUCAGAUGUAUCUUCGAGGAAGCAAGUGAAAUACAAAACGUAUCUGUUCCAUUUUUUAGACUUUCAAUGUGAUCGAUAUCUCACACACACACACACUCUUUUUUUAGCCGUGUGUCCUUGCCGGCGGUUCAUGAACCUUCGACUUCGACUUGGAACUCCUCUGACGAACGACGUGCUUAAAGUAGCAAAAAGAUACAGCCGCAAAAAAAUUCACCACCAUGACAGAAAAAAUGAGUACAAAAUAAAAAAAAAAUUUAAAAAAAAAAACCAACAACCAAGCAGGCAUUGGUAAAGAAAAAUAAAAAAAAAAAACAAUUACGCCCAGUCUUGAAAUUAUAUUCGUAGUUUGCAAAAAUAACUUCUUCUCUAACUGGAGGGA